ensembl:lncRNA
GUAACGGAUGAAGAUCAGUGCAAAUGACGAAGGGUUUCAUUGCACUACAGCACAUUAUUGUUACACAUUAUAAAUUGACCAUAAGAAUUGAGCCAAGUGCUCAAAAUAAAUAAAUUAGAUUAGAUUAGAUUAGAUUAGAUUCAACUUUAUUGUCAUUGCACAUGUGGGUACAAGGCAACGAAAUGUAGUAAUUAAAUAAAUACAAAAAUAGACAGAAUAAUAGGGCUGAACAGAAAGUGCAGAGACAAAGACAUUGUAAUGUAAUGAUGAUAAAUGAGGACAUGCAAGUGGUUGAUUUCAAUGAAAACAAAAAAAAAAAGAUUUGAAAACUGUUAGUUAUAUCAGUAGUAAGUCACAGAAUAUAUAGCAUCGUUUGAAUUCUGGCAAUCGACCCUAAUACAAAGCCAGCUAUUUCACUAAGAAACAAAAAUUUACAUACAGCCUAUAUUGCAGGCGAGUAAAUCGCCACAUGAAUUCGCAGAGUGCGUAACGCGCGCUCACUCACGCUCUCUCUCUCUCUCACACACAAACACACACACACGAGAUCUGUGGGUGCACUCACCUCUCUGCUGAGCUCCACAACACCGCCACAGCAGCCCGAGGAGCACGACAAAACACGGUGCGAUGGCCCGAAUCUCCGUUAUGCAUUUGCAGUGCUCAGACUGACAUCUGGCUGGACAGAACCAUUAUUCUGAUGAAUGCCAGUGAGUUUGGCUGGACUGAGACAUUUCAUGUGAGGUAAAGCUGUGAAAUCCAAGCAGUUCUGUGCACUCUUUCCACAUUCGGUGGCUGAGCUAUGUCACGUUCUCAGCUUUCUUGGGUGAAGAGCCAUGUGGAGGAUCUCUGGAUGAAGCGCUUGCAUGCGGGCGCUGAGGAGAACCGAGGUCUAGUGGUGAGGGAUGAACUGGCUCAGACGUAUGGAGACGUUUGCAGGUGUGACUCAGCCAUAAGUCCAGCUGCAUUUCGCUCAGAUGGUUCCUGCGAGGACGGUGCUCUCAGCACAAGGCUGAGAAUUACAACUUGGGAGGCGGGUUGGAACGUCACCAAUGCCAUACAGGUGAUAACAGAUAACCUGCCCACCUUUUUGCGGAUGGUGGUGAACCUGUGUCUGCUGGCAAAGGCUCUCCUCUCAUACUGCAGACGGUCGUCCUGAAGCUCAACCUGUCCACAGAAGAGUCCGAGCGGUGGAUGCUGCCUUUGCAUGGAUCCCUUCUCCUCCUCACCCUCAUCAUGGUGCUGUGCAUGCCUCAUUUCUCCCUCCUCAUGGGCCUCACGGGCAGCGUGACCGGGGCGGCCGUGACGCUUCUGCUCCUGGCGCUCUUCCACCUGCAGCUGAAAUGGACUCAGCUGGAUGAGCCGCAGGGUUCUGGACCUGCUGAUAUCACUGCUGGGCUGUUUCUGCAGCGUCUCCGGGGUUAUAUGUUCCAUCAAAGGAAUGAUAACAGCCUUUGAAGACAAAUAGAUAGCCAAUCAUGCCCUCUGUCUGUGAGUCUGCGUUUCCGUUUGCUCUGGCUGGUGGUGUUUGGUUGUUAAUAAAGUUAAACGGAGCCGUGUCUGGAGGUUAAUG